CCAGACAGCCAUGGAAGAUAGCUUUUAAGCUGGUUUUACAGAAUUUUACUGUAUGUGAGUUUAUUUCUUUCCCUUUUUCUUAUAUUUUUUGUAUUUUUAAGACUUUUGCAAUUAGGUCCAACUAUCUAAUUCAUUAUUUUUUUAUUUUAUGGGUGACUUUAAAAGUUACCAUGAAUAAGUGAUGUAUGAUUAUGGUGAAUUAUUAUGGAAUUGAAGUUCUUAUUUUAUUAUAUGAAGAUUUUAUUAAGUGAUUUUGAUAGAAAUUGAUUUAAGGACCUAAUUGUGAAAAAGUUGUGAAUUAAGGUUUGGUACUGAAAUUAUGAUUUUCAAAGGUUGUGGAGUAGCUUAGAAUGAAUAAAUAAAUUGUUAAUUGAGCAAAAUUAGCUCAAUUGAUGGGUUAAUUGAGUAGGGACUAAAUUAUAAAAAAAACUAUAAAAAUUUACGGUAAAAGUGUAAUUUUGGAAAUUAAAGGGUAUAAACUGUAAAUUAGAGUAAAAUUGAAAUGCAUCCUAAUAAAUUAAUGAUUUUAAAAUUAUAGAUCAAGAACCCGAAGUGAAUCGUGGGAAAGAGAAAAUAGCCGAUUAGUCCCUGAACUUGUAUGAAUUUUGUGAAUUUGCCCAGGUAAGUUCAUAUGGCUAAAUUCAAUGUUUUUUUAUGAAAGUUUCAUGAAUAUUAUGGUAUAUUAUUGUAUAUGAAAGUUAUAAAAUUUUGGUAAUUGUAAAAUAAUGAUUAAGUAUAAAUUAGUUAGAACGGUGGAUUUGAGUACUUUCGUUCAGUGGCUAAGAUGAUUGACGAAAAAAAUCAUGGUUGGACCAUGGCAACAUGUGAUAUGUGAUUUCCAUAUAAGACCAUAGUUGGGCUAUGGCAUCGGUGUGAUAUGAGCUUACGUAUAAGACCAUAUGUGAGAUAUGGCAUCGGUGUGAUAUGUGCUUAUGUGUAAGACCAUAUCUAGGAUAUGGCAUCAGUGUGAUAUGUGAUCCGUGUAAGACCAUGGCUGGGCUAUGGCUUCGGUGUAUGAUAUGUGACUAUGUACAAGACCAUCGUUUUACUAAGGCAUUGUGAUAACGAAGUACUCAAUUCCGUAAUCGUUCCUUAAUUUGAUUAAGAAAGGUAAAUGAUAAAGGGGCCCAAGAGAUUAAAAGUUGGUUAAUAAGUGACAUUGAAUUCAAGCAAGUGAACUUUUCACUAAUUUUGUGAUUAACAGAAGGAGUUAGUGAAUUUAGAUAUUAUAUAAUUGUUAUAAGAUUUUCGGUAAGAAUUAUUUUCUAUGCCCAUGAACUUACUAAGCUUUCAUAAGCUUACUCUUGUGUGUUAAAUGUUCUUUGUAGAUUGACGUGAAGUUGGUGGAUCGGAUCAACAUAUCAGGGAAAACUAUCCAGAUUACUUCGGUAAAUUUUAUUGUGCAUUUUAAGAUUUAUAUGGUAUGUAUAGGCUUUAAUUGAAAGGAAGUGAAGGUGUUAUAAACUUAGUUAUCAACAUUUUUCAUUAAAACAGUUUUGGACAGCAGCAGUAGUCCAACUUUGAAAAAGCACCAAAAAUUGUGGAAAUCGACUUGGAGGUUGAAUAAAAUAUGAAAUUAAA
rnacentral:lncRNA from 1 species